CUCAUCUCUUUCUGUGGUUAGUGCUCUGAUGUCCCGAUAUAGAUAAUCUUGAAGUAAUUCUUGAUUCUUAGAUCAACUAGAGAACUCUCAGGAAACUUCCUCUCUUCCCACCAAAAAUAAUUACAUAGUUAUCCUUGGGCGAUCUUGGAUCUUAAUUAGUACACUCACGUUCCCUGUGGAAAAUCGAUACUCCGGAAUACUCCCGGGUGAAGGCU
rnacentral:lncRNA from 1 species